CUCCUCUGUCCGCUUCUCGUGGCUGAGGGAUGGGGCGCCCUCAGCGCCGCGGGGCUCCGUCCUCACAGCCCGGUAGAGAGCGAGCGGCGGGGCCCGGAGCCGCUGUGCCCCGUGCCGCCCCACAGGCGCCAGCCGGGAGCUCCGCGCAGGUCCCGGCCCCGCAGGCGCAGCCCGGGAGGGUGAAGGAAGCGGGGAGAGAACGCGGCGUACGGAACGCCGCACCGAGGGGGAUUUCUGAGCCAUAAAAGCGGCCCUGAGAGGAAUGCGGAUCUCCACGGCGAGCAGCGAGAACCACCUCAGGAGAGCGGAGCCAACCCCGGGCCCGAGCAGAGGGCACCCGCAGGCAAAGAGGAGCGCUCGAGACCUUUAAAGCCACCUCAGGGAGCGCUGCUGCGGGGUGCGGGCACAGAGAGCCCCCGGGAGGAGGGCGGUCCUCCAUCCACUCCUUCGGAAGACAUUUCUACGCCGUUAAUGUACCUCUGAAAACAUGCACCUGAGCUAACGGCGAUUCCCGAAACCAUUUCGUGUCAUUCACUGCAAAGAGAUGGCGGUAUUCAUUUCAGACUUCGAGAGCAAAGAAUAAAUUGUGCAGAGCGGGAGAAUCCAGGAGCAGAGAAACUGAGUUCAUGCAAAAAUGAGAGCACACAGCAGGUAUGCACAUGGUAAACUUCAUUUGAACUUGUUUACAAAAUUGACAAAAAAAAUCACCUUGUAAACUUAUUCACAUUUUUUGGAGCUCACAGAACUGGUUAUAGUAGCAUGCUGAAAUAAAGAUUGUCAAGCCUCGUCUCACCCCAGAUCACAUCCGAGUGAGCUGACCCUUACAGCAGAAACAAACCGGGUACGUGACAGGAGGUGAAGCUCGCGUUGUAAGCGAUGUCCCUGGAGAUUGUGCACCACCGGGGAGAGGGCCGAGUCCGGCACGUGGAGCUCCCUCAAGCAAAGUGAGCAUCAGCACGGGCAGUUUGCUGCGGAGAGCUGCAUGGAAUCUGAGAGCAGCGAUGGAACUCAGGACAUCACUCGACCUUUCGGGCCGUCAACUGCAGCAGAAAUAAAAUAAACAUUUCCCAACGUGAGCAACUUCUGAGCCCUCUACCAUCACAUCUGCCUUCCUGAGCUGCAAGACAGUAACUUUCUGCAACUCUACAACACACUGCCUGACCUCAUCAACUGCAGAAGGAUAAAAUGGAAGUAAACUGAAAAUAUACUUGGAAACAUUUUUGGUAACCACUUUUUUCUGGUUAGAUUUCACGCAGACGUCGGGUUUCAGAAACAGAAGCAAACAAACACCAGUAAGAUUUCUGAGAUAGCCACACAUUGCAAUCCCAGUCAAACCACAAAAGCAGGUUUUAACAAGAACGACUUAAAAAUAAACCCAAUGUUAUCAGUUGUAUUCCAUGGAAUAAACCAAAGCAACGUAGACCUGGUGAGGAACACUUCUAAAAUCACAAUUUGACAGUGAAGAGCUUUGCCUCUGCUCCCAAAGGCACAACUACUUUUACCACGGCUCUUCCACAGCAGUGAGACCCAGCACACAUGAGUUAACAGGACGAACACCACUGAACCUCACACUGUUUUUGGUAUCGUGUCCCCUCCCCCUCCACUCUGGACAGAAGUCCAACAGCGGGGACUGUAGAAAACAACUCGUCCCAAACGUUAAAGCAAUUACAGGUAAUAGAAAUUCUGAGCUUUCUAUACUGAAUUAGGCUGCGUUAGAAAUAUUUUUUAACAAUUAGGAAUAAUAUAUUACAAAAUUACUGAGAAAAGAUGAACUACAAUUUUUUAGACUUUGAGGUACAUUAACAGUAAUUGUGUCAUCAGUCUCUCACCCCUGGAUGCAACCAGAGUUAAAAGCAAUCCAACCUGUGUGACCGAAUACCACCAACACAUUUGGAAGACAUCUCUACAUCCCUAACAGCAGUGCCUGGCACUGCCGGGUGGGAUCCGCUGCGCCGCACGGCUCCGCUGGGUGCCGAUACUUCGUCUGAACUGAGCACAUUUUAAAAAAUAAAUUAGUUCAGUAUAAAUAAUUCACAAACUGCUUUGUGCAAAUUUUUUUUAUUUCCACAUUUAUAUCACAAUGUGUCCACUUAAAGGACCAAAUAGCAAAGUUGCUCCCUUCUGCAUCCCAGGAACACAGAAGUCUAGGUACUGUACAUUCACUAAGGCUCUUUGUUUUUGCAAAUUGCGUUUAUGAUGGAUAUCCAUAAGGCAAACAAUAUCUAAAGGAAUGGUAACAAGUAUAUUUCCAGCAUACAAACAGGCUUCCUUUUUCCCUCUCACAGUACAGUUACGAACUUGUAGCACCCUCGUUACAUUUAGAUUCUAGAAAAGGUGAUUUUUUUUUUUUCCUAGAAGUUUGCAGGAAGGGAAAAGGAGGAAAAAUAUUUGGCUGGUGGUGGUGGGAUCAAAAAUGUUGUUAAACAUCUCGUUUUUGCAGCAUUUCUCAGAGACUGGAUUUAAACUGAAACCAGACUGAAAUACGUGGAUGCCCAUGGAAUGUUGAGCUGAAGCUGGUCUCCCAGCCUGCAGUGCAACACCUGCUGUUUAAAACCCAAUCUCCGUACCACAUGACUUUAAAAACACAAUCAUGUUCAGAGAUGCGAUACAAAUAAAACUACAGUUUUUGCA